rnacentral:rRNA from 1 species
CAAGUCGAGCGAUCUUCUUCGGAAGAGAGCGGCGGACGGGUGAGUAACGCGUGGGUAACCUGCCCUGUACACACGGAUAACAUACCGAAAGGUAUGCUAAUACGGGAUAACAUAAGAAAGUCGCAUGACUUUCUUAUCAAAGCUUUUGCGGUACAGGAUGGACCCGCGUCUGAUUAGCUAGUUGGUAAGGUAACGGCUUACCAAGGCGACGAUCAGUAGCCGACCUGAGAGGGUGAUCGGCCACAUUGGAACUGAGACACGGUCCAAACUCCUACGGGAGGCAGCAGUGGGGAAUAUUGCACAAUGGGCGAAAGCCUGAUGCAGCAACGCCGCGUGAGCGAUGAAGGCCUUCGGGUCGUAAAGCUCUGUCCUCAAGGAAGAUAAUGACGGUACUUGAGGAGGAAGCCCCGGCUAACUACGUGCCAGCAGCCGCGGUAAUACGUAGGGGGCUAGCGUUAUCCGGAAUUACUGGGCGUAAAGGGUGCGUAGGCGGUCUUUCAAGUCAGAAGUGAAAGGCUACGGCUCAACCGUAGUAAGCUUUUGAAACUGUAAGACUUGAGUGCAGGAGAGGAGAGUGGAAUUCCUAGUGUAGCGGUGAAAUGCGUAGAUAUUAGGAGGAACA